rnacentral:lncRNA from 1 species
CCAGUCACCAGGCAGUUCACGCAGCCAUGGUGGUAAGGAGACCACAGCAGACUGAGCUGAAAGUGAGGCAGCCUUCACUGGAAGGAGCAUGGUUUCCUUCUCAUAGCUGGAGGACAGUAUCAAACAAAUUACAAGGACAAGAAUUAGGAAUGAUGAGGGGUAGAAGAAUGCAUGAACAUACACACACCCCAGGCUUACAAAGCAGCCAAUCUACCAUGUUCUACAAAGAUUUAAGGAGGCCAACAGCUCUGCCAACACCAUCCUGAGAGUUGCACCAGGAACACAGCUUGCCAUGAAAAUGAAAUAAAAAUAGUACUAGA